rnacentral:rRNA from 1 species
UGAGACCGGCGCACGGGUGCGUAACGCGUAUGCAAUCUACCUUUUACAGAGGGAUAGCCCAGAGAAAUUUGGAUUAAUACCUCAUAGUAUAGUGAGUUGGCAUCAACACACUAUUAAAGUCACAACGGUAAAAGAUGAGCAUGCGUCCCAUUAGCUAGUUGGUAAGGUAACGGCUUACCAAGGCAACGAUGGGUAGGGGUCCUGAGAGGGAGAUCCCCCACACUGGUACUGAGACACGGACCAGACUCCUACGGGAGGCAGCAGUGAGGAAUAUUGGUCAAUGGGCGCAAGCCUGAACCAGCCAUGCCGCGUGCAGGAUGACGGUCCUAUGGAUUGUAAACUGCUUUUGCACAGGAAGAAACACUCGGUCGUGACCGAGCUUGACGGUACUGUGAGAAUAAGGAUCGGCUAACUCCGUGCCAGCAGCCGCGGUAAUACGGAGGAUCCAAGCGUUAUCCGGAAUCAUUGGGUUUAAAGGGUCCGUAGGCGGCCAGAUAAGUCAGUGGUGAAAGCCCAUCGCUCAACGAUGGAACGGCCAUUGAUACUGUUUGGCUUGAAUUAUUUGGAAGUAACUAGAAUAUGUAGUGUAGCGGUGAAAUGCUUAGAGAUUACAUGGAAUACCAAUUGCGAAGGCAGGUUACUACAAAUUGAUUGACGCUGAUGGACGAAAGCGUGGGUAGCGAACAGGAUUAGAUACCCUGGUAGUCCACGCCGUAAACGAUGGAUACUAGCUGUUGGGAGCAAUCUCAGUGGCUA